rnacentral:rRNA from 1 species
GAUGAACGCUGGCGGCGUGCCUAAUACAUGCAAGUCGAGCGAACAGACGAGGAGUUUGCUCCUGAGUCGUUAGCGGCGAACGGGUGAGUAACACGUGACUAACCUACCUAUAAGACCGGGAUUGCUUCGGGACACCGGAGCUAAGGCCGGAUAAUCUAUAGAACUGCAUGGUUCUAUCGUGGAAGGAGGUCUUGUUGUUACUUAUAGGUGGUGCCGUGGCGGAUUAGCAACUUGGUAAGGUGAUGGUUUACCAAGGCAACGAUGCGUAGUCGACCUGAGAGUGUGAGCGUCCACACUGGAACUGAGACACGGUCCAGACUCCUACGGGAGGCAGCAGUAGGGAAUCUUCCGCAAGGGGCGAAAGCGUGACGGAGCAGCGCCGCGUGAGUGAUGAAGAUCUUCGGAUCGUGAAUCUCUGUUAUUAGGGAAGAACAAAUGUGUAAGUAACUGUGCACGUCUUGACGGUACCUAAUCAGAAAGCCACGGCUAACUACGUG